rnacentral:lncRNA from 1 species
AUGAGGACCGUGGACAAAAGAGCAGGUCCUGUCUUUCUCCUGACACAUGCCUGCUGUGGAGGGGCCAGGCAGAGGGCAAGAACUGCCAGGGACUCAAGAAUCUCCUUUUCUUUCUCUCUCUCUCUUCCUUGUACAGAGACCAUAGUGUCCCUUUGGCAAGUGUUAAACGUGUAUCUGGUGUCUCAUUACAUACAUUUCCAGAAGCAGUCUGCUGGAUUGAGGGUCCAGGUCAAAAAUUUACCAAGGCUGGUUGUCAACCUAUUCAGGCAUCCAUGCUUGUGAGGUGGUCUGUAUUACCACAAAAGGCAGCUGAGGAGACAUGACCUGACAUGUCUGUACUGCAUCAAGACAUGGGGCUGGGAGACCAGAGGAAUGGAGUGCUCUCUUGCUCACAUUUUUCACUGUUCCUCACCAGCCCAGGGCACUCACUUCUCAGUUCCUCCCUUGGCUCCCAUUAACCUUGGGUAGUUGCACUAACGGAGGCAGAAUCUCCACGCAUCCACCCGGAAGAACGUAUCAAGAGGCAAGAAGAGUGUGACCUGACUUGGAAGAAGUGGAAUUAAAGAAUGGUGUUUCCGUGGCAGUAUCGCCUGUCGCAUCCCAGGUCACACUGAAGCAGAGUGCUCUAGGGUGAGGCAAGGAGGUUUGUGGACGGCGAGGCUUGUUUCUGAGAAGCAGACUUGUCGUCUAUGGGCUUGAAGACAGGAGACGCCAGGGAAGAUCUAGGGUCAUUUCCCCCAAAAUAAUGGCUGGUGGAAUGUUGUCUUUGAAAGGGGAAUGCUUUAUUAUGGAUUUCUCUAGUUAAGAACUCCUUAAAAUAUGAGUAUCCAAAAUAUUCUUUUAUAAAAUAAAC